rnacentral:lncRNA from 1 species
AAACACGAAUGUUUUGUUGUUGGUCACGAAUUCUCUAUCAAUCGAUAAAGAUUAAGUAUAGCAUAACAUUUGAAAGAUAUUAAUUGGACAUACGUAGUGAACGGAUAGAAAUUAUGAAAAAUACUUUCUUCGAAAUCCAAUACAAGACAUUUUAUAAUUCAUGGGAAAUAGAGGAUUUUGGUUUAAUGAGGCAUGUCCAUGGAAAUAGAAACCAAGGGAAAGAUAAGUAGGACUAUAGGCGCGUGUAAGUGAAGCCUGAAGUGGGAGACCAACAACGCUCUAGAGGGGAAGAGAGAAAGCUAAGACAAUAAGGUUCAAGAAUAUCAAGAGCUCGAAGACGUACCUAUGUUGAAUAUAUAAAAUGUAACGUUUAUGAAAGUUAUGAACUUUCUUUUCUGUCAUCUUAAUAAAUACCCACUUCCAACAAUC